rnacentral:rRNA from 1 species
UACAUGGUGUGCAAACGUUGCUCGGAAUUAUUGGGCGUAAAGCGCGCGUAGGCGGUUACUUAAGUCGGAUGUGAAAGCCCUCGGCUUAACUGAGGAAGUGCACCCGAAACUGAGUAGCUAGAGUACGAAAGAGGGUCGCGGAAUUCCCGGUGUAGAGGUGAAAUUCGUAGAUAUCGGGAGGAACACCGGUGGCGAAGGCGGCGACCUGGGUCGAGACUGACGCUGAGGCGCGAAAGCGUGGGGAGCAAACAGG